UUUAUUGGAGAGUUUGAUCCUGGCUCAGGAUGAACGCUGGCGGCGUGCCUAAUACAUGCAAGUCGAGCGAA
rnacentral:rRNA from 13 species